rnacentral:misc_RNA from 1 species
GAUGAAGAACGUAGUGAAAUGCGAUAAGUAAUGUGAAUUGCAGAAUUCAGUGAAUCAUCGAAUCUUUGAACGCACAUUGCGCCCGCCAGUAUUCUGGCGGGCAUGCCUGUUCGAGCGUCAUUUCAACCAUCAAGCCCCAGGCUUGUGUUGGGGACCUGCGGCUGCCGCAGGCCCUGAAAACCAGUGGCGGGCUCGCUGUCACACCGGGCGUAGUAGAUUUUAUCUCGCUCAGGGCGUGCUGCGGGUUCCGGCCGUUAAAAAGCCUUUUUUACCCAAGGUUGACCUCGCAUCAGGUAGGAAGACCCGCUGAACUUAAGCAUAUCAAUAAGCGGAGGA